rnacentral:rRNA from 1 species
GACGAACGCUGGCGGCGUGCUUAACACAUGCAAGUCGAACGGCAACGCCCUGCUUUUGUUGGCUGCUCGUGUGGCGAACGGGUGAGUAACACGUGAGUAACCUGCCCUUUACUUUGGGAUAACUUCAGGACACUGUGGCUACUACCGGCUAGCAGCUCCUGCUGCAUGGUGGGGGUUGGAACUUUUCGGCGGUUGGGGAUGGACUCGCGGCUUAUCAGCUUGUUGGUGGGGUAGUGGCUUACCCAGCCUUUGACGGGUAGCCGGCCUGGGCGGUUAACCAGCCCCAAGGGGACUGAGGGAGGGCGCAGACGGGUACGGGGGGCAGCGGGGGGGAAUAUGACACAAUGGGCGGAAGCCCGAGGCGGCGACGUCGGGGGCGGGAUGACGGCCUGCGGGGGGUAAACCGCUUUCGCCUGAGACGAAGCGGGGGUGACGGUAACGGGUAAAGAAGCACCGGCUAACUACGUG